UUUCUUUACGCCUAAGUAAUCAUCGUGUUACAAUGAAUGCGUCGCUCUUGGCGACUAUGGUGAUAAACGGAUCACGGAAUAGGCUUGAUGGACCAGGGGGCGGUACCCUGCGCCUCCACCAAUCGUUUUUAUGGGGGCGAAAUAGGUUCGACAUUGUGCAGUAAAGGCGGUUUUUUCACUCGGCAUGGUAUCCACCGUUAUCGGGCUAAUUUGAAUAAUUGCCAAAAAUAUAAAUGGCAGAAGAAGGCGCAGGAAGGCUGUUAACCGUAACAGCAAAACUGCAGUUGCAAAGGCCGCUUAAUCUCCCGUAUGGGAAUUGAGUCCUGAGUAACUUGCCGUUUUUGAUUAAGCGGUAGUCUCCGCGGUCUGAGGAACCGAGCAACAGAAUCCUCAUCC
rnacentral:tmRNA from 1 species